rnacentral:rRNA from 1 species
GAUGAACGCUGGCGGCGUGCCUCAAACAUGCAAGUCGAGCGGGGCUAUGUAAUAUCGCAAGGUAGAACAUAGCCUAGCGGCGAACGGGUGAGUAACACGUGGGUAACCUGCCUGGAAGACAGGGAUAACGAUUCGAAAGGGUCGCUAAUACCUGAUAAUAUCCUUUCAUCGCAUGGUGAUAGGAAGAAAGGGGAAACCCGCUUUCAGAUGGGCCCGCGUCCCAUCAGCUAGUUGGUAAGGUAAAGGCUUACCAAGGCGACGACGGGUAGCCGGUCUGAGAGGAUGUACGGCCACACUGGGACUGAGAUACGGCCCAGACUCCUACGGGAGGCAGCAGUUGGGAAUCUUAGGCAAUGGACGAAAGUCUGACCUAGCGACGCCGCGUGAGGGAAGAAGGCCUUGGGUUGUAAACCUCUGUCAUGGGGGAAGAAGUAAGUGACGGUACCCCAAGAGGAAGCCCCUGCUAACUACGUGACCAGCAAGCCGACGGUAAGACGUACUCUAU